rnacentral:rRNA from 1 species
AAGUAGAACGCUGAAGCUUGGUGCUUGCGCCGAGCGGAUGAGUUGCGAACGGGUGAGUAACGCGUAGGUAACCUGCCUCUUAGCGGGGGAUAACUAUUGGAAACGAUAGCUAAUACCGCAUAAAAGACGAUAUCGCAUGAUAUUGAUUUGAAAGGUGCAAAUGCAUCACUAAGAGAUGGACCUGCGUUGUAUUAGCUAGUUGGUGAGGUAACGGCUCACCAAGGCAACGAUACAUAGCCGACCUGAGAGGGUGAUCGGCCACACUGGGACUGAGACACGGCCCAGACUCCUACGGGAGGCAGCAGUAGGGAAUCUUCGGCAAUGGGGGCAACCCUGACCGAGCAACGCCGCGUGAGUGAAGAAGGUUUUCGGAUCGUAAAGCUCUGUUGUAAGAGAAGAACGAGUGUGAGAGUGGAAAGUUCACACUGUGACGGUAACUUACCAGAAAGGGACGGCUAACUACGUGCCAGCAGCCGCGGUAAUACGUAGGUCCCGAGCGUUAUCCGGAUUUAUUGGGCGUAAAGCGAGCGCAGGCGGUUAGAUAAGUCUGAAGUUAAAGGCUGUGGCUUAACCAUAGUACGCUUUGGAAACUGUUUAACUUGAGUGCAGAAGGGGAGAGUGGAAUUCCAUGUGUAGCGGUGAAAUGCGUAGAUAUAUGGAGGAACACCGGUGGCGAAAGCGGCUCUCUGGUCUGUAACUGACGCUGAGGCUCGAAAGCGUGGGGAGCAA